GGGGCAAUUGUUCAGUGGCUGAGCAUCUGCUUUGCAUGCAAAAGGUUCAAGGUUCAAUCCCUAGCAUCUCCA
rnacentral:tRNA from 1 species